UUGACUCUGUGGAGGCGCGAACCGACUUCAGUUGAAAAUGGAGCGGAUGACCUGUGGAUAGGGGUGAAAGGCCAAUCAAACUCGGUGAUAGCUGGUUCUCCGCGAAAUGCAUUUAGGUGCAGCGUCGUGCGUUCAACGAUGGGGGUAGAGCACUGAAUGGGCUAGGGGUCCUACAAGACUACCGACCCCAAUCAAACUCCGAAUACCAUCGUUCCAGAGCACGGCAGUGAGACCUCGGGGGAUGAGCUUCGAGGUCGAGAGGGAAACAGCCCAGACCGCCGGCUAAGGUCCCAAAAUCUGAACUAAGUGGUAAACGAUGUGAGAUUGCGAAGACAGCCAGGAGGUUGGCUUGGAAGCAGCCAUCCUUGAAAGAGUGCGUAACAGCUCACUGGUCGAGUGAUCUUGCGCGGACAAUGUAACGGGGCUCAAGUUCAGUACCGAAGCCGCGGAUGCGACUCUUUGAGUCGUGUGGUAGCGGAGCGUCGAGCGUGCAGCGAAGCGGCGGGACAACCCAGCCGUGGAGCGCGUUCGAGUGCGAAUGUUGGCAUGAGUAGCGAAUGAGGGGUGAGAACCCCCUCCGCCGUAUGUCCAAGGGUUCCUGGGCGAGGCCAAUCCUCCCAGGGUGAGUCGGGAGCUAAGGCGAGGCCGAGAGGCGUAGUCGAUGCACAACUGGUUGAUAUUCCAGUACCACCAUGUUCGCGUCCGUCCCAAUACUCUGUUGCUAAGGGGCUGUGUUGACUUCGGUCAACGCGAACCGACCCACAUUGUUGCGGGAAGCUGUAGGGGGACGCAGGAAGGUAGAUGAACCCGGUGAAUGGUAGAACCGGGGUAAGCGUGUAGGAGGAGGACCAGGUAAAUCCGGGCCUCAUAAACUCUGAGACGUGAUACCGAGCCGCUUCAGGCGAAGUCAUUGAUCCUAUGCUGCCUAGAAAAGCCCAGCAGCGAGUUGACAUGGUGCCCGUACCCCAAACCAACACAGGUGGACAGGUAGAGCAUACCAAGGCGAGUGGGAUAACUAUGGUUAAGGAACUCGGCAAAUUGCCUCCGUAACUUCGGGAGAAGGAGGACCCCAGUAGCGUGAUGAGACUUGCUCUCUGAGCGUGAAGGGGUGGCACAAAAUUGAGGGAAGCGACUGUUUACCAAAAACACAGCAGCGUGCUAAGCCGUAAGGCGCUGUAUACGCUGUGACUCCUGCCCGGUGCUGGAAGGUUACGGGGAUGGGUUAGUCCUUCGGGACGAAGCUCUGAACCUAAGCCCCAGUAAACGGCGGCCGUAACUAUAACGGUCCUAAGGUAGCGAAAUUCCUUGUCGGGUAAGUUCCGACCUGCACGAAUGGAGUAACGACUUCCCUACUGUCUCAACCAUAGACCCAGCGAAAUUGAAGUACGAGUAAAGAUGCUCGUUAGCUGCAGAAGGACGGAAAGACCCCGUGGACCUUUACUAUAACUUGAUGUUGUGUUUUGCC
rnacentral:rRNA from 1 species